rnacentral:rRNA from 1 species
UAGGGAAUCUUCCACAACGGGCGAAAGCCUGAUGGAGCAACGCCGCGUGUGUGAUGAAGGGUUUCGGCUCGUAAAACACUGUUGUAAGAGAAGAAUGACAUUGAGAGUAACUGUUCAAUGUGUGACGGUAUCUUACCAGAAAGGAACGGCUAAAUACGUGCCAC